rnacentral:lncRNA from 1 species
GGGAGACCCUGGAAUUCAAGGAUACCAUGGGAGGAAGGGGGAGAAGGGAAGAGCUGGUGAUCCCGGGCUUCCUGGAUUCCUAGGACAGAAGGGAGAGAAGGGAGAUGCUGGCAAUGCACUCGGGGGAGGUAAAGGGGAACCCGGACACCCGGGACUACCUGGGCCUCCAGGACCAAAGGGGGAAGCUGGUGACAUUGGCCAGACUGGAAUUGCAGGACCGCAGGGGGAAAAGGGAGAACCUGGAGCACCCGGAGAACUGGGGCCUGUUGGUCCAAGGGGUCCCAAAG